UUGUUAAGAGAGCCUUUUCAGGCGGAGCUUUGAUGCUUACAACAAUGGAUGGGGAGGAUUUCACUCGUCCUGUGAAUUCAGAUGCAGUUAAGAGAUACUUUGCCUAAAAAAAAAAAGUAUAUGCAAAUAAAAAAAAAAGAAUGAAAAAACAGAAUAGCUCGCUAAGUUGAAAACCCGAAAGGGCAGCUUAGGCAAAAAUGAGCGUCUCGGUGGAGAACCCGCAAGGGUAAUUCAGGCAAAAAUUAGAGACU
rnacentral:lncRNA from 1 species